rnacentral:rRNA from 1 species
UACGAAGGGGGCUAGCGUUGCUCGGAAUCACUGGGCGUAAAGGGUGCGUAGGCGGGUCUUUAAGUCAGGGGUGAAAUCCUGGAGCUCAACUCCAGAACUGCCUUUGAUACUGAGGAUCUUGAGUACGGGAGAGGUGAGUGGAACUGCGAGUGUAGAGGUGAAAUUCGUAGAUAUUCGCAAGAACACCAGUGGCGAAGGCGGCUCACUGGCCCGGUACUGACGCUGAGGUGCGAAAGCGUGGGGAGCAAACAGGG